rnacentral:rRNA from 1 species
UACGUAGGGGGCAAGCGUUGUCCGGAUUUAUUGGGCGUAAAGAGCGUGUAGGCGGCCAUUCAGGUCAGCUGUGAAAACUCGAGGCUCAACCUCGAGACGUCGGUUGAAACCGUUUGGCUAGAGUCCGGAAGAGGAGAGUGGAAUUCCCGGUGUAGCGGUGAAAUGCGCAGAUAUCGGGGAAGAACACCCGUGGCGAAGGCGGCUCACUGGGUCAUUACUGACGCUGAGGCACGAAAGCGUGGGGAGCAAACAGG